rnacentral:rRNA from 1 species
AAGCGUCUCAGUUCAGAUUGCAGGCUGCAACCCGCCUGCAUGAAGUCGGAAUUGCUAGUAAUCGCGGAUCAGCAUGCCGCGGUGAAUACGUUCCCGGGCCUUGUACACACCGCCCGUCACACCAUGAGAGCCGGGGGACCCGAAGUCCGUAGUCUAACCAUUAAGGAGGACGCGGCCGAAGGUGGGUUUGGUAAUUGGGUGAAGUCGUAACAAGGUAUC